rnacentral:tRNA from 1 species
GCCCGGAUGGCGAAAUCGGUAGACGCAAGGGGCUUAAAAUCCCUCGGGGGUAACCCCGUGCCGGUUCGACCCCGGCUCCGGGCACCA